ACACUGCCUGUUGCUCAGACUGAGAGCUGAGCUGAGCUGAGGUGGAACAGACACACUCCUGCAGAGGGACAUGUGCCACAUUCCUCCUCAGAGCCUGCUCUGUGUGCUGGUGGCCUUGGCUUUGUCUGGAUGUAAUAUGGCCCAGAAAGUGACUCAGGCUCACUCAUCAGCAAGCAGGCAGGAGGGGGAAGAAGUCACCCUGGAGUGUUCAUAUGAGACAAGUUAUGGCUCAUAUUAUCUUUUUUGGUACAAGCAGCUUCUUAGUGGAGAGAUGGUUUUCCUUAUUCUCCAACCUUCUUUUGAUUCUCAGAACCAGAGGAGAGGCCGCUAUUCUGUAAUCUUCCAGCAAUCACUCAAGUCCAUCAGCCUUGUCAUUUCAGCCUCUCAGCCAGAGGAUUCGGGGACGUAUUUCUGUGCUCUCUGGGAAACUGACACAGUGUUUGAAGUGAUAGCACAAGCUGAACAAAAACUGGGGCUCCUUAAGCAGAGGCUCCCUGAGAGAGGGAGCCCAGCUGAGAUGCACACCUGCACAUCCUGAACAAGAAGAUGUCAACUGUGGAUGCCCCGUCUGUGGUCUGCAUGAGAACUGUGUUUCUAAGUAAAACCUCAGGGCAUGCAAUUUAGAAAUAAUUAUCGUGAGCGGCUUUGUAUACUACACUGACUUAAAACAGAGUUAAAAAUA